CCCAACCGUUGCCACGAAGGAUCCCAGAGUCAGUGUGGUUGAGCCUUCCAAUCUCCUCAAAAAAGUCAUAAAUCUGGAAUUUUACGUAAGAUUUCCCGAUUUGUAAGACAGUAUGGGAGCCAAAGAGCAUAUGCCUGUGGGUAAUUUUCCCCUGGAUUACCACCUGCAACAACGCUGUCUCCCAGGACCCAGGUCCUGGAGCUCCGAUGAGCUCAUCCGCACAGCCCAUAACAGGAGAGCAGACGGCACAGCAGGUAUCCUGAUGACUUGGUCCCUCACUUCCUUCAGAUAUCUUCCUGAAUGGCACUCAACCACUGUAUUAAGUCAUAGUAAGACUGUUUAUUUUCACUCCUGGAAUGACAAUGGAAGUUCAACAUGGCACAGUGCAUCUGCAGGGCUCAGAACAAUGCCUGGAAUGUUUGUAGAUUAGGAAACAAAGACCCACAGAAAAGAAGCAAAGUGCCCAAGGUCACAGCUAAAAAUGGACAGAACCAAGAUUCAAUCCAGGAUCUGACCCUUAGUCCCUCCAAGCCACCCCCCUAUCAUCCUAGCAGGCACCAUCUCUGUGCCUGAUACUUAGUGCAUGCAUUAAACACAUCAUCUCAAGCGA